UGUGUCCUAGGAUAGAUAAGUGA
rnacentral:miRNA from 1 species